rnacentral:lncRNA from 1 species
AGAAUCUCAAUUUCCAGGCCAGCCUGGGAAAUUUAGGGAGACCCUGUCUCAAAACAAAAAAUAAAAAGGACUAGAGAUGAAGCUCAGCGGUAAAGCACCCUCAGCUUAAUACCCAGUACAAGAAAAGAAAAGAGAAGAGAAGAAUCCAACAAAGACUGAGAAUAAUGAGUAAACAAUCAGUGGUUUCUAUCUUAUUCUGUAUUAAAGUAAUAGUAGCUUCCUCAUGUCUUACUGUAGCUUAAUAGUAGGAUGUUCUGUGAAUAGUGGUUUUUUUAAAAAAUAAUUUCAUAUUAACACCAAAAUAUUACCUUAUUUUUGUUUGUUUUGUUUUGUUUUUAUCUUUUUGUGGAUCAAACUCAGGGAUGUCUUACCUCUGAGCUACAUUUCCAAGUCCUCCAUUUAUGUAUUUAUUUGUUUGUUUGUUUACUUAUUUCUAACUUAUUAUGUAUGGCAGCAGGAUGCAUUUCAAUUCACAUUACACACAUAGAGCACAAUUUUUCAUGUCUCUGGUUGUACACAAAGUAGAGUCACACCAUUUGUGUCUUCAUACAUGUACUUAGGGUAAUAAUGUCCAUCUCAUUCCACCAUCUUUCCUACCCCCAUACCCCCUUCCUUCUGCUCCAUCCCCUUUGCCCUAUCUAAAGUUCCUCCAUUCCUCCCAUACUCCCUGCCCCAUUCCAUUAUGGAUCAGCAUCCUCAUAUCAGAGAAAACAUUAGGUAUUUAUUUUGGGGGGGAUUGGCUUACUUCAUUAGCAUAGUAUUC